UGCUCCAUUGCCGACUGUCUGCACUUCCGCUGUGACAUCCCUUCCUUGGACAUCCAGGACGAGCUUGACUUCAUUCUGAAGGGCAACCUCAGCUUCAGCUGGGCCAGUCAGACAUUGCAGAAAAAGGUGGUGGUCAUGAGUGUGGCUGAGAUUACAUUCAACACCUCUGUGUAUUCCCAGCUGCCGGGACAGGAGGCAUUUCUGAGAGCUCAGGUAG